AGACAAGAUUUAGCCCGGCCAAGACCCGAGUCAGUCAUGGUGGGAUUCUCUCUUUCUUCACCUGAGACAUUAUUUAUUUCACAGAUGAGCAGACAGGACAACAAACUCUUCUUUACCCUGCCUGACUGAAGGAGACAAACAACCUCAGCCCAUGAAAACAGAAAGAAGUCUUUAGGAUCUGUCAAGACCAUCCACCUCCUGCUGUACGCAGGGAACACAGCAACCUCUUCUGGACAAACGUGAAAGUAGCAGAGGGUGUAAUGAAGCCAACAUAACAGAAACUGGAAAAGUCCUGGACCCCGAGAAUGGACAAAGCCAGAAAAAGGACACAAAACAUUGGACUGCUGUAGUUUGACUUCAGAUGACUGCAGAGUUCUGCACCAAAACUGAGAACCGCGGAGUUUCUUCACAUCGUCCAACGUCUCCUACUGAACUUGGAGGUCUUAACCUUGUCGCUGGCUAAAACUAAACAAUGAAAAUGAAUCCAAAAGUGAAUUGAAUCCAAUUUAUGUAUUUAUCCAGCAGGCUCUACAAAGCUCAACUUCUACUUUAACCUUUAAUGUGUAUUUUGAGGCUCUUUGUGACUUGUAGUUGACCCCUAUAUUUAUUUAUUUAACUUUCUAAAGCAAAAAUGUCUGAGGGCUUAACUUUGAGAGUUUUAUGUUCAUCCAAGUAUAGAAAAUGUCCCAACAGUCAACUUAUGUAAAAGUCUAUAAACAUUUUCAACUGAAUUCUGACUAAAUAAAAACUGAAAUAUUGUCUUU